ACUAAAAAUACAAAAAAUUAGCCAGGCGUGGUCGUGGGUGCCUGUAAUUCCAGCUACAUGGGAGGCUGAGGCAGGAGAAUCACUUGAACUCAGGAGGCAGAGGUUGCAGUGAGCAGAGAUCGUGCCACUGAACUCCAGCCUGGGUGACAGAGUGAGACUCCAUCUUAAAAAAAAAAAAAAAAAGUAAAGAAAGAAAAAGUAAAAAAGAAACAGAGACACAGACACCCUGGGCAUAGGAAUAAUGAACUUUCACAAUAACAAAAAAUGAAAGAAAACACCUCCCCGAGGGAGCAUCCACAACACAGCAAAGCAUUUCACUUUGGGCACAAAAUUAUUGAAACCUUAUCAUGUUAUUUUUGACAUAUCUGAAAUCUCCUUGGAUAACCACAACUCCGUCAAUCCUAUUCUGUUAUGCUUUGAUUGCAUUGAUUUUUCUGAAGGUUGGGUUUUUAUUGUGAUGGCAGUAGGGAGAGAAAGAAGCUAUUGAUAGCAAAGGUAUAGUGUAAUCUGUAGCACUAAACCAAAAUGAGGACAUAUCAUUCAGUAAAGAAUGUGUAUGCCACUUCUAAGUAUAAAAAUAAAUCUUGGCAGAUGAGGCUUGAGUAUCAAAAUAUUGGAAUUUCCAAGAUAAUAUCAUAGUUUUUGGGGCCAAUAAUAUAAAAAAGUAUUUCAGAAAACUCAGGGUCACGUCGGUGUAUUCAGAGCACAGAGUCACCGUGGGUGUAGUGUACAGGG
rnacentral:lncRNA from 10 species